rnacentral:rRNA from 1 species
ACACAUGCAAGUCGAACGAAGCUUGACGGAUGAUUUCUUCGGAAUGAAACCAGAUAUGACUUAGUGGCGGACGGGUGAGUAACACGUGAGCAACCUGCCUUUCAGAGGGGGAUAACGGCUGGAAACGGUCGCUAAUACCGCAUGAUGUGUUCGGAUGGCAUCAUCUGAACAUCAAAGAUUUAUCGCUGAAAGAUGGGCUCGCGUCUGAUUAGAUAGUUGGUGGGGUAACGGCCUACCAAGUCGACGAUCAGUAGCCGGACUGAGAGGUUGAACGGCCACAUUGGGACUGAGAUACGGCCCAGACUCCUACGGGAGGCAGCAGUGGGGAAUAUUGCACAAUGGGGGAAACCCUGAUGCAGCAACGCCGCGUGAAGGAUGACGGUUUUCGGAUUGUAAACUUCUUUUCUUAGUGACGAAGACAGUGACGGUAGCUAAGGAAUAAGCAUCGGCUAACUACGUGCCAGCAGCCGCGGUAAUACGUAGGAUGCAAGCGUUAUCCGGAUUUACUGGGUGUAAAGGGAGCGCAGGCGGGACUGCAAGUUGGAUGUGAAAUACCGUGGCUUAACCACGGAACUGCAUCCAAAACUGUAGUUCUUGAGUGAAGUAGAGGCAAGCGGAAUUCCGAGUGUAGCGGUGAAAUGCGUAGAUAUUCGGAGGAACACCAGUGGCGAAGGCGGCUUGCUGGGCUUUAACUGACGCUGAGGCUCGAAAGUGUGGGGAGCAAACAGGAUUAGAUACCCUGGUAGUCCACACUGUAAACGAUGAUAGCUAGGUGUGGGGGGUCUGACCCCUUCCGUGCCGGAGUUAACGCAAUAAGCUAUCCACCUGGGGAGUACGACCGCAAGGUUGAAACUCAAAGGAAUUGACGGGGG